rnacentral:rRNA from 1 species
GGAAUAUUGGACAAUGGGGGAAACCCUGAUCCAGCGACGCCGCGUGUGUGAAGAAGUAUUUCGGUAUGUAAAGCUCUAUCAGCAGGGAAGAUAAUGACAGUACCUGACUAAGAAGCACCGGCUAAAUACGUGCCAGCAGCCGCGGUAAUACGUAUGGUGCAAGCGUUAUCCGGAUUUACUGGGUGUAAAGGGAGCGUAGACGGUAAUGCAAGUCUGGAGUGAAAUGCAGGGGCUCAACCCCUGAACUGCUUUGGAAACUGUAUGACUGGAGUGCAGGAGAGGUAAGUGGAAUUCCUAGUGUAGCGGUGAAAUGCGUAGAUAUUAGGUGGAACACCAGUGGCGAAGGCGGCUUACUGGACUGUAACUGACGUUGAGGCUCGAAAGCGUGGGGAGCAAAC